rnacentral:rRNA from 1 species
AUAUUGGACAAUGGGCGGAAGCCUGAUCCAGCAACGCCGCCUGAGGGAUUACGGCCGUCGGGUUGUAAACCUCUUUCAGUUCCGACGACGCGGAAGUGACGGUAUGAGCAGAAGAAGCACCGGCCAACUACGUUCCAGGAGGCGCGGUAAAACGUAGGGUGCGAGCGUUGUCCGGAAUUAUUGGGCGUAAAGGGCUCGUAGGUGGUUUGUCGUGUCGGGAGUAAAAACUCAGGGCUUAACUCUGAGCUUGCUUCCGAUACGGGCAGACUAGAGGUAUGCAGGGGAGAAUGGAAUUCCUGGUGUAGCGGUGAAAUGCGCAGAUAUCAGGAGGAACACCGAUGGCGAAGGCAGGUCUCUGGGCCGCAACUGACGCUGAGGAGCGAAAGCAUGGGGAGCGAACA